CCCUUAGAUGUCCUGGGCUGCACGCGCGCUACACUGAUGUGUCCAGUAAGCACCUAACCUCUUCCGAAAGGAACGGGUAACCUUUGCAAAGCACAUCGUGAUGGGGAUAGAUUAUUGCAAUUAUUAGUCUUGAACGAGGAAUUCCUAGUAAGCACAAGUCAUCAGCUUGUGUUGAUUACGUCCCUGCCCUUUGUACACACCGCCCGUCGCUGCUACCGAUUGAGUGGUCCGGUGAAUUAUUCGGACCGGUGGACUGUGGGGAAACCCGCGGCCUGCUGGGAAGUCUUGUGAACCUUAUCACUUAGAGGAAGCAGAAGUCGUAACA
rnacentral:rRNA from 1 species